UCCAGCGGUGCUUGGUGACGUCGAUCCCGAGAUAAAGAAUUACUGCGUGAAGUGAAAUAAUUGGUGAAGUGCAAGCUUUACAGGAACAUCUCCAAUCACAAAAAGAUGAUUCACAUUGGACUUGGGACCAAAAUCUGCUUUCCUGGCUCAUGCUGGUGGAGUAUCCUUUUAAAAUUAUUUAUGCCUGUUUUGACUGUUUUUAUUUUGCUCUGUUUAAUUUCAACUCAUGUAAUACCAUGCAUUAAGUCAAUGAUUGCCAAAAUGGUAUCUACUAGACUAAUGUAUGUGCAUGCCUUGUACCAACAAACUUAUUCUCUCAUUCCCACUGCCCCACAGAUUGACGAGGACACCUCAGCUGUUUGAAGUGUUCAACUGUGUUCAACUGUGUUCAACUGUGCUAUGGUUCCGAAAUGAUGUCUGUGCAGAAAAUCUAAUUGAAGUUGUACAUGACUGAUAAUGAGUUGUUCUAUUUCACAGUUUAAAUUGAUAUGCAAAACAGCAGGGAAUGUUAAGAUGUUAAAUACAUUUAUUCAAUCUUUACAAUAUAUUCAUUGUAUUACGUUUCCAUAUCAAUUUAUACUGUUAUUGAAUGCUGUUAUUAUGCUGUACUAAAA